rnacentral:rRNA from 1 species
CACGUAGUUAGCCGGGGCUUUUCUUGAGGUACCGUCAUUAUCUUCCCUCAUAAAAGAGCUUUACGACCCGAAGGCCUUCUUCGCUCACGCGGCGUCGCUGCAUCAGGGUUUCCCCCAUUGUGCAAUAUUCCCCACUGCUGCCUCCCGUAGGAGUUUGGACCGUGUCUCAGUUCCAAUGUGGCCGGUCACCCUCUCAGGCCGGCUACUGAUCGUCGCCUUGGUGGGCCGUUACCUCACCAACUAGCUAAUCAGCCGCGAGUCCAUCUUUGACCGAAUUUCUUUGACUAAUUGAUCAUGUGACCAGUUAGUGUCAUUUGGUAUUAAUCCCAGUUUCCCGAGGCUAUCCCAAUGUCAAAGGCAGGUUACUCACGUGUUACUCACCCGUCGCCGCUAAUCCAUUCAUCUUCACCCGAAGGUUCUGUCGAAUUUCAUCGCUCGACUUGCAUGUGUUAAGCGCGCCGCCAGCGUCGUCCUGAGCCAGAUCGAAACUACUA